UGUCCCUUAAAUCAUUUUUUGUUAAAAUAACUAAAAUACCAUUUACAGUUAAGUUACUCUUACAUUGGGCCUCCAAAAGUCAAUAUUAAAAGAAUAAUUUAUUAUUUUAAUUGCAGUUAGAGGCUUCUUUACUAAAAAUAUUUAUUUUCUUUAAAAUGAAUUUCUUGAUGUCCCAUUCCUUGUGCAUGUAUUUGCAAGUUUUUUUAUAUGCACUAACAUUCAUACAAUUGUAUAUAACAAAUUUAUAAUUUUGUCCGGGCUAAUCAAAGAUCUUAGGUCCAAUUCUAAUUCUAGGACUUAUAUGGAUCUAUUUGCACUGCAGUUAGACCGAUUACUUCUAAAGCCCAACUGCCAACAGCGCUACAACACAACUUAAACAACUGGGACCAUAGUUAAUAUAGGUUAAAUUAGUCAAUUCCCUGUAAAUAUUCUAUAAUAAUAAUGAUGAUAAUAAAUAAUGAACUAUGACGCUCAGCUCAACGAUAAUUGCAUCUUUAAAUAAUUUUAAUUAUAAUUUUUAAUCCAUUUUUUAAGGCAAUUCUUGUCGUCUGAUCGUUAAAAAUGUUUUCUCCUCCGGGUAAUUUUUGGUGUCCUCCCCUGAGGUUUACCAUAUUUACAAUUUGAGAGAAAGUAUGCUCGUACUGGUAGAAACGUAUCAUGCCGUCUGUAUUCAAUUUUAUAUCUCGUUAGUCGUCGAGGACAAGUUACUAAAUGCAUGCAAUAUUGAUUAAAUAUCUAAACUUGUUCAAGUAUUUUCACUUUUGGGAAUUGUCUUUUUUCUUAAACCCAAUAAUAUCUACCGGAUAAUAAAAGAUGUAUGCCGUUGGUGAAUAUUGACGAAGACAUAGAAACCACCCAUUAUUAGUAAUGGAGCUGAGUUUGAGGUUAAUGAAUCUUUCAUCCUUAAAUUGAUUAUGGGUUUGUAAAAUGUUCGUCUUCUUUUCUUGAUGAUGUCGGUUUGUUGCGAUGAUUUUGUUGUCUUUAAAUUUUGUCAACUUUACUAAAUGUAUCAUGCAAAAUGUGGCUUAUAUGCUUAUUACUUCAUUGGAAAAAGAACUUUGAGGCUAAAGAUGAAGAAAUAAGAAAAAUUAUCUUUGUACCAUUUUUGUUUUA
rnacentral:lncRNA from 1 species